rnacentral:lncRNA from 1 species
CUUAGCAUUCAGCAUACUCAGUAGGAUAGGAGAUGUUCUGCAGGAAGAAGUUUUAAGUAAUCCAAAUUCCCCUGCUGCAACAUUUAACUUUCCUGGAGUAAACCAUGUCAAUCAAAGAAUGCCGAGUCAGCAUGUGAGACACUUUCUCAUUAAUCAAAUGAAUAUUGUAGAUGGCCGGUUUCGCGAGCCCAACACUGUCAAGUAUAGCAAAUAUGAGUCCUGGGACGAUAAACACAAAAGAAUGGCAAGUCAGCAUGUGAGACACUCUCUCAUUGAUCAAAUGAAUAUUGUAGAUGGCCGGUUUCGCGAGCCCAACACUGUCAAGUAUAGCAAAUACGAGUCCUGGGACGAUAAACACAAAAUUAGCAUUGUCCAAGGCCAUAACAAAUCUUGCAGGUAUGUAGUACUACUUUUUACUAGGAGAGUAUGAAGUAAUAUACGCUUAAUUUUUUUAAACUGUUGCAAACGAGUCCAUCUAAAACUUCAGAAUCCCUCGAACUUGAGACCUCCGCCAAACCUAGCUCUGAUAUCAUGUUAGAUAACCAGUCCAUCUAAAACUUUAAGGUGUUAUAUCAAUAGAAACAUGAGAUGAAUAUUUAAAUUUGCAGCAUUGGUUUUCGGAGAGCUAUGGAAACUGGAACCUUUGUCUGAGGAGAGGAAGAAAAAGUGGCGACAAGAAAUGGACUGGAUACUAUCGCCUACUAACUAUAUGAUCGAGCUGGUUCCAGCUAAACAACAUAGCAUCAAUGGCCAGACCAUGGAGGUAUAUAUAUCUUGUAUCGGAAUAGCUAUGAGCUAAAAUACCAUGUCGGACUAAUAACUCUCUUGAAAUUAUAAGGUGUUAGUAGAAGCCACCAAAUAGAUCGUAUAAACACUUACAUAUUGUCACUGAAGCAGAUAAUGACACCUAAGGCUCGAGCUGACAUCCAUAUGAAUCUUCCAGCACUUCAGAAGUUGGACUCCAUGCUCAUUGUAAGGUGUCUCCAGCCUAUCAUCAGAAUAACCUGGAGUAAACCUUAACUAAUUUUAAGCAUAUUGAAUUCACAGGAAACGUUGGAUUCUAUGGUUGGCACUGAAUUUUGGUACGUAGAAGGGGGUAGCCGAGCAGAAGGAAGGAGCAAUAGUUCUAGGCAAAGCAAUAGAUGGUGGCUUCCGUCACCAAAAGUACCUGCAGCAGGGCUAUCAGAUACUGAAAGGAAGAAAUUGCUAAAUCAGGGUAAAGUAGUUCAUCAAGUUUUCAAGGCUGCAAAAUCCAUUAAUAAAAAUGUCUUGCUCGAGAUGUCUGUUCCUGAUUUUAUACGGGAGGCACUUCCUAAGGCAAGCAAUCAAUACUUGAAUUACUAUGUCAACGAAAAAUUCAGUGUCAAGGAUGAGUUUUGAUUACUGUGUACUUUUUCUUUGCAGUCGGGAAAGGCAAACCUUGGGGAAGAUCUUUACAGUAACAUGACUGCAGAAUCACCCACGGUAGAAGAGGUGCUUCAUGCCCUCAAUUUAAAAUCUGAACAUAGAGCCCUUGAAGUGAUUAACAGGUUGGAGGCAGCAGCACUUGCAUGGAAACAUAGAAUGUUAGAAAAACGCAACUAUGAAUCUCCAAUUCAUACAUCAUUGUCUUUUCUAAAGGAUUCAGAAUCUGAUAUGGAUAAAAUGGAAUACUUGUUAAACCAGACUGAAAGUCUUGUCCAGGAAAUUAAAGCCAGAUUCCCAAAACUUCCCCAAUCGUUCCUGGAUGUCACAAAAAUCCAAUAUGGCAAGGUAUGUACAGUUUCAUUUAUAUCGCACAAGAAACAACCUCAAUGUCAGAAAUAUCACUUCUUGAUGUUCAGUGUUUUCAUUCUUCCAUAGUAGUAGUCAGCUAUUGAAUGAUCAGAUGCCCUAAUAAUUCAGCUUAAUGUGUUUACAUGCUUACAGGAUGUUGGUCAGGCAAUCCUAGAGGCUUAUUCUCGGGUUCUUGCAAACUUAGCAUUCAGCAUACUCAGUAGGAUAGGAGAUGUUCUGCAGGAAGAAGUUUUAAGUAAUCCAAAUUCCCCUGCUGCAACAUUUAACUUUCCUGGAGUAAACCAUGUCAAUCAAAGAAUGCCGAGUCAGCAUGUGAGACACUUUCUCAUUAAUCAAAUGAAUAUUGUAGAUGGCCGGUUUCGCGAGCCCAACACUGUCAAGUAUAGCAAAUAUGAGUCCUGGGACGAUAAACACAAAAGAAUGGCAAGUCAGCAUGUGAGACACUCUCUCAUUGAUCAAAU